rnacentral:rRNA from 1 species
CCUACGGGUGGCAGCAGUGGGGGAUAUUGCACAAUGGGCGCAAGCCUGAUGCAGCGACACCGCGUGAGCGAAGAAGUAUUUCGGUAUGUAAAGCUCUAUCAGCAGGGAAGAAAAUGACGGUACCUGACUAAGAAGCUCCGGCUAAAUACGUGCCAGCAGCCGCGGUAAUACGUAUGCAGCAAGCGUUAUCCGGAUUUACUGGGUGUAAAGGGAGCGAAGGCGGCCCUGUAAGUUUGAGGGGAAAAUUUGGGGCUCAACCCCCAACGUAAAUUGGAAACUGCAGGGCUUGAGAGCCGGAGAGGCAGGCGGAAUUCCUAGUGUAGCAGUGAAAUGCGUAGAUAUUAGAAGGAACACCAGUGGCGUAGGCGGGCUGCUGGGCGGUAACUGACGCUGAGGCUCGAAAGCGUAGGGAGCAAACGGGAUUAGAUACCCUAGUAGUC